rnacentral:rRNA from 1 species
GAUGAACGCUGGCGGCGUGCCUAAUACAUGCAAGUCGAGCGAACGGACGAGAAGCUUGCUUCUCUGAUGUUAGCGGCGGACGGGUGAGUAACACGUGGAUAACCUACCUAUAAGACUGGGAUAACUUCGGGAAACCGGAGCUAAUACCGGAUAAUAUUUUGAACCGCAUGGUUCAAAAGUGAAAGACGGUCUUGCUGUCACUUAUAGAUGGAUCCGCGCUGCAUUAGCUAGUUGGUAAGGUAACGGCUUACCAAGGCAACGAUGCAUAGCCGACCUGAGAGGGUGGUCGGCCACACUGGAACUGAGCCACGGUCCAGACUCCUACGGGAGGCAGCAGUAGGGAAUCUUCCGCAAAGGGCGAAAGCCUGACGGAGCAACGCCGCGUGAGUGAUGAAGGUCUUCGGGUCGUAAAACUCUGUUAGUAGGGAAGAACAUAUGUGUAAGUAACUGUGCACAUCUUGACGGUACCUAAUCAGAAAGCCACGGCUAACUACGUG